CCAGUGCUCCCCAAGCAAGAUAACCUCUGCUGGGGAGACUACAGAGAAAGCAAGUCCCCAGUGUGGGGAAGGAAGGAUCUUAACUUGUUUCCUUUGUGAUGCUAAACUCUUCCUCAUUCUACUACCUGUUCUUACAGCAGUACCUGUCCAGGAAAAGUACACUAGCCCUCCCCCUGUAGCUCACAGGCUAAUAAAAGUGAGCCAGCUAGGCAUGGUGGUGCAGGCCUGUAGCUAGGCAUGGUGGUGCAGGCUGAGGCAGGAGGACUGCCUCAGCAAGAUCCUGUCUCAAAAAAACAAAACAAAAAAAAAGUGAGCCAGCUGAAGAGGUCUUUGUCUUGGCCCAGUCUGAAGUACUGACCUCCUGGGCCCCCUAAACCUGCAAAUUUCUCUUUGUCAUUCUUUAUCCCUUGCUGUACCCUCCUGAGCAGGCAACCGUUGGUCUGAUCAUCCCUCAGUAGCAUGGUUCACAGCCGCCCAAGCUGGCUCCCAGAAGCAGCCGUCCACUGCUCAGAAGGCAGAGGGUGGGAGACAAAUGUCAAGGACAGGGCCCCCCCGGCACGUUCGUUUUUUGGGGGACAAAGCAUUCCAGAAGUAUCUGGAAGGAGUGGCUGUACAUGGUGAGUGUCCUAACUGCCACUGUCUUGUUCACUUUAAAAUGGAUACUUUUAGCUAGACUUGAUGGUACAUGGCUAUAACCCCAGGGAUUACUUGGGAGCAGAGGCAGGAGGAUCAUCAUGAGUUCGAGGCCAGCCUGCUCUCCAUAGCAAGACCUGUGUCAAAGAGGGAAAAAAGGAUAAUUUUAUGUCACAUGAAUUUCUCCUCCAUUUUAAAAACAAAGACAAGGGACCGUUGAAGAUGAAUGAAGGCUGUGGAAGGAGGCGCAGAGGACCUUUGCAAAUGCGUGGUGCUGCGACUCCAACAGAGUCUCCUGAAAGAAUUAUUCAUGUCCCAGAAGUAACCAAAAAAGUGUAUUAGAAUGCAACAGAAAAAAAAAAAAAAGAAUGCAACAGAGGCCAGGUGCUGAGUCCCACAGAAUGAGGUGUGGAGCUGCCAGGGAAACCUCUACCUGCCUAAGUGUAUGUAAUGAAGAUCAUCAGAAUUGUUUUUUUUUUUUUUUUUUUUUCAGACAGGGUCUCACUAUGUAGUUUAUACAGGCCUUGAAUUCUUUAUGUAAUCUGUGCUGGCCCAGAACUUGAAGCAAUCUUGCUCCUCAGCCUGCUGGAAUUACGCCUAGCCAGAACUCAUUAUUUAAAGUGUGCUGGUUGGACAUGUCAUUAGAUUCCACACGUAUAAAUACCUUUUGAUUACCCAGAUCACCUGGAAAGAAAGCUUCGGAAGAAUUCUUUUUUUUUUUUUUUUUUUUUU
rnacentral:lncRNA from 1 species